GUAGUCUCGCACAGGAUGCAUAUCAAUAAGCGGAGGAAAAGAAACUAACAAGGAUUCCCCUAGUAACGGCGAGUGAAGCGGGAAGAGCUCAAAUUUGAAAUCUUAAAGGGUUUCCCUUUACGAAUUGUAGUUUAAAGAAGUGUUUUCUGUUGAGGUUUUGGUAAAAGUUCUUUGGAAUAGGACAUCAUAGAGGGUGAGAAUCCCGUAUUUGACCUUUACUUUCAACUUUGUGAUACACUUUCAAAGAGUCGGAUUGUUUGGGAAUGCAGUCCAAAAUGGGUGGUAAAUUUCAUCUAAAGCUAAAUAUUGGCGAGAGACCGAUAGCGAACAAGUACCGUGAGGGAAAGAUGAAAAGAACUUUGAAAAGAGAGUUAAACAGUACGUGAAAUUGUCAAAAGGGAAGCGUUUGACACCAGUGUUGUUUUUCUGAAAAUCAAUUAAAGAACUGUUUAUGCUAAGUUGUUUAGACUUUAUCAGCUAAUCUGCUUAGUUUUGAGCUUUUCUUUAAUGCACUUUUCAGUUAACAAGUCAACAUCAAUUUCUUUUGCUGUAAAAAAGCUUGAGGAAGGUGGCUUGAGAUUCGUCUUAAGUGUUUAUAGCCUCUUGCCUAUGCAGUCGGAGAGAUUGAGGUCUGCAGCGUAGAUCCUUCGGGGCUAAAUAGCAUUUGUGCUAAGUUAUAGCAUUUUAUAGACAACUUGUUGACUAUGAUUUGUCUUGUAGCUUACUCGCUUAUGUUAUUUUACCUACGCUUAGGAUGUUGACGCAUGAGAUAUACGC
rnacentral:rRNA from 1 species